CUUGUCUUAACCCAUCAGCAGAGAACAUGUGUGGUCACAAAAUACCCAUUAAUACAUUCUUUCACAGUCAGAGUAAGUUCUACCGAGCUUGCCAAAUUCCAACUCAGGUAGCUUCAUUUUUCCAGCCCACAUUCCUGCUGCUUUUUCAAUUGGGUGAAUUAUUUUCACUUCCUCUCUUUUAAAGAGUUUCUGGCUCACAUAGGUUAUCAGGUUUCCAUCCAGUGGCUGCUGCAUUUCCACAGUGAGUGAAUGAUCUCUCCAAGGUACUUUGGGAUGAAACUACCAUGUUAAGAAGCUCAAAGCACUUGGAGGGGCCAUGUGUAGGUUUUCUAAUUCAAAGUCUCAGUGCAGUGCAGCCUUUGAAUCAUCACAGCACAAUUUCCAGACAUCUAAGUGAAGAUGUCUCCAGACGAUUCCAGUCUGCAGCCAUUUGAAUAUUCUCAGCUGAAGCCCUAAAAAUUGUGGAUGAGAAACAAGCCACCUCUACCAGGCUCUGAAUAAAUCCCUGACCCACAGAAUCCAUUACUAUUAAAAAAUAGUUUUACACAAUUGCAUUUGAGGGUUUUUUUUUUUGUUGUGUGGCAAUAGAGCAUGGUUUAAAUAGAAGAAAUAUUACUUAGAGGUAGUUAUUACUAUUAACAUAAUUACUAAUAAGUCAAAUGAAGCAUUUACUAUCAAAAUAAGACAAAUAAAAAGUUAUAAUAACGUCUGGGAGUGAAAGAAUGUUAACAGAGAUGUUCUCACACUUUGCUAAUAAAAGUGUGAAAUGGUAUAACCUGUGGAAAAUAAUUUAG
rnacentral:lncRNA from 10 species